GUGGGGAAUAUUGGGCAAUGGGCGCAAGCCUGACCCAGCAACGCCGCGUGAAGGAAGAAGGCUUUCGGGUUGUAAACUUCUUUUACCAGGGACGAAACAAAUGACGGUACCUGGUGAAUAAGCCACGGCUAACUACGUGCCAGCAGCCGCGGUAAUACGUAGGUGGCGAGCGUUAUCAGGAUUUAUUGGGUGUAAAGGGCGUGUAGGCGGGACAGCAAGUCAGAUGUGAAAACCAGAGGCUCAACCUCUGGCCUGCAUUUGAAACUGUUGUUCUUGAGUGUCGGAGAGGUAAUCGGAAUUCCGUGUGUAGCGGUGAAAUGCGUAGAUAUACGGAGGAACACCAGUGGCGAAGGCGGAUUACUGGACGAUAACUGACGCUGAGGCGCGAAAGCGUGGGGAGCAAACAGGAUUAGAAACCCCAGUAGUCC
rnacentral:rRNA from 1 species